CCUACGGGGAGCAGCAGUGGGGAAUAUUGGGCAAUGGGCGCAAGCCUGACCCAGCAACGCCGCGUGAAGGAAGAAGGCCCUCGGGUUGUAAACUUCUUUUGUCAGGGACGAAGAAAGUGACGGUACCUGACGAAUAAGCCACGGCUAACUACGUGCCAGCAGCCGCGGUAAUACGUAGGGUGCGAGCGUUAAUCGGAAUUACUGGGCGUAAAGGGUGCGCAGGCGGUUGAGUAAGACAGAUGUGAAAUCCCCGAGCUUAACUCGGGAAUGGCAUAUGUGACUGCUCGACUAGAGUGUGUCAGAGGGAGGUGGAAUUCCACGUGUUGCAGUGAAAUGCGUAGAUAUGUGGAAGAACACCGAUGGCGAAGGCAGCCUCCUGGGACAUAACUGACGCUCAGGCACGAAAGCGUGGGGAGCAAACAGGAUUAGAUACCCGUAGUC
rnacentral:rRNA from 1 species